UGGGGAAUCAUGGUCAAUGGGCGAAAGCCUGAACCUGCGACGCCGCGUGAGUGAUGAAGGUCGUAAGAUCGUAAAACUCUUUUCAGGGAUCUUAACGCACAGCUGUCAACAACAGCUGUGUCUGACUCUCCCUGGAAGAAGCCCCAGCCAACUACGUGCCAGCAGCUGCGGUAAUACGUAGGGGGCGAGCGUUAUUCGGAAUUACUGGGUGUAAAGGGUAUGUAGGCGGCCCUUCAAGUCGCGUGUCAAAGUCCAGUGCUCAACGCUGGGUGUGCGCGCGAUACUGACGGGCUUGAGGGCUGGAGAGGUGAGCGGAAUUCCCGGUGUAGUGGUAAAAUACGUAGAGAUCGGGAGGAACACCAGCGGCGCAGGCGGCUCACUAGACAGUGUCUGACGCUAAGAUACGAAAGCGUGGGGGAGCAAACA
rnacentral:rRNA from 1 species